AUGGAAGAGAGGAAUUUCAUUCCUGUAAAAACUUAGUACCAAAAGUUGUAAAAAAAGGCAACAACAACAAGUAGAACCUCAUAGACUAAAAUCCACUUCACAUUCUUCUGCUUCUACUUCAACUCAAACUGAUCCUUUAUCCAUGAUUAAGACGGUGCAGUUGGAUAGGAAAAAGAUGAUUCCUAAAAAGCCUAGAAGUGUUAAAUCUAAGGCGAAGCAAGUGAAAUCUAAUCAUCCGAGGAAGGCUGAGAGCAUUAAACGUAAGGGGUCAAAGAGGACAAGGAUUAAUGACCUUUAUGAUGAUGUUGAAGCUAAAUAUUCUGUUAUGGAGCGAGCAGAAAAGGUUUUAUCAAGCCUACCAGAUGAAUUUCCCAGCUUUGCAAAGUGUAUGCUCCCUUCGAAUGUUGCUCAUGGAUUUUGGCUGCAUCUUCCAAAGUCAUUCUGCAACAUGCAUUUACCUAGUUCUGAUACCACAGUCAUUUUGGUUGAUGAAUGGGGCAAUGAGUACAAGACAAGUUAUCUUCUAGAAAGGAAUGGUUUAAGUGCUGGUUGGAGAGGAUUUUCCAUCUCUCACAGACUACUUAAAGGAGAUCUUUUGAUUUUUCGCUUGAUUGAACCUUGCAAAAUGAAGGUCUAUAUAGUCAGAGUAAAUGGUCAAGAAGUGGUAGAUGCAGCUCUUUGCCUCAUGAAUUGGGAAACUCUGAACACAUCACUUGAAGAUCUUGUACGGAAAGAUAAUAGGAAGCGAAAGAAAGCAAAGCAUUUGGCAGAGCCUUUUUUCGUUGAUUUAUCUAAACCAAAAGAGCAUGUUCAGAAUGACAGCCAUUGUGCUGUUGAUUUAAAUGUUUCACCUUCAGAGCAUCAAUCUGAAAAUAACAGUGAAGAUUUGGAUUCCGAGGUUCUUGAAGGUUCGGAUGUGACCAACCGCUUGCAAUCUAAUGAAAUAUGCUGCUCCGAAACAUCAUUUUUACAUGAUAACCCUCACAAGAGCAUAGCUUGUAGGUAGAGAUGGCGGAGGACUCUGACCAUUCGUUUGUACUAACAAGUUCUAUCAUGAGAAGCUGUGAAGAAUUACAACAAAGAACAACUUAUAGUUACCUCAGAAGUAAAGAGAACAAAAGUUUUUGAUGAAUAUAUAUAUGACAAAGGGCUGGAAUGAAGCAGAAGUGAAGAUCUUUUUUGGAUGUAUAAUGCUUUUGUGCUUCUAAAAACUAUACUACUUAAUACCUUGCCCUAUAGGUUUGAAAGAUGUAAUUUUGAGAUGAUAGCGUAUGAUAUGUACACUUUUCAUAUUUGUACAUAGACGCACACAGGAAAUGUAGUUUGCAUAUCUGCACAACUGUACUAAUCAAUGAAUUUCUUUUAUUCAUUUGAAAUUU